AACGAACGCUGGCGGCAUGCUUAACACAUGCAAGUCGAGCGCCCCGCCAGGGGAGCGGCGGGGUGGUGGGGAACGCGUGGGGACGUUCCCUUUUGUGUAGAACAACUCCGGGAAACUGGUACUAAUAGCGGACAAGCCCUAACGCGGGAAGAUUUCUCGCCCAAAAAUCGGGCCGCGUCUGAUUAGCUACGUGGUGGGGUAACGUCACACCAAGGCGACGAGCAGUAGCUGGUCUGAGUGGAUGAGCAGCCGCACUGGGACUGAGACACGGGCCAGACUCCGACGGGAGGCAGCAGUAGGGAAUAUUGUAGAAUGAGCGCAAGCCUGAUCCAGCCAUGCCGCGUGAGUGAUGAAGGCCGUAGGGUUGUAAAGCUCUUUUGUACGGGAAGAUAAUGACGGUACCGGAAGAAUAAGCCCCGGCUAACUUCGUG
rnacentral:rRNA from 1 species